ncrna:unclassified sequences Glutamine riboswitch
AUCGUUCAAUUUGCCUAAGGCAAAUCGGAAGUAGGUUAAAACCGAAGGAACGCGGA